GAAAUUUGAAAAUGAUUUGUGGGUUUCGGGUGAAUUGUUGUAUUUUUUAUUGAUUACAUUAUCUCUUUAUAUAUUUUCAUAAAUUUUUUUUUUUUACAUUUUUUUUGGAUUUGACGUAAUUUAUAUCUCGUUAUGAUCAUUUUUAUACUAUUAUAUAUUUGUUUCUGAUUUUAUGUUUUAUAUAUAUUUCGUUUUUUCAUAUGGAACAAUUUUUAAAUUUAACAUAUUAGUAUAAUUUACUUUAUAUUUGGUUUAUUUCAUUUAAUAUUGUUUAUUUAUUUU
rnacentral:lncRNA from 1 species